AGAGAAAUAAGUGUUUCGGUGCAAAUUGGGCGCAAAACAAAAUGUAAAGAGGAUUCUCGGAUUUCUGACGCUAACUUUGAUUAAAAGAAUUAAAGUGAGGCGUGAGGAUACAUUGUGGUAUCUCCGAAUCAAUUGUGAAGUUUUGGUAAAGCCAAGGGUGUGUUUUCACAGGGUUUUGAAGAGCUCAGUGCGAAGUGGUAGUGCAAAAAGGCCAUGUAAUGGAAUUGGAGCCGAUUCUAUUUCUAAUUUGGCUCAAAUAAUGUCAAAAUGAAAAGGAAUUGCUUCCAAAUUAAAUUGGUAGCUUGGGAAGGUCCCUUGGUGUAUUUUGGAAGUGUUUGGGUGAAAUCGGAGCGAAAACGGAAAAUAUAGAAUUUUCUGUAAGGAACGGGACUGAGAAAAUUAGCAGAAAAUGCACAGUGUCAGAAAUUAUGAAAAUUGGCAGAGAUGUCAGGAACAUUAUUAUGAGGCUAGAUUUGAAGUUUCAGAUUUUUCUGACACCUGUAGAGAGAGAAAUAGCAUCUGGAAGUUGUCGGAUAAAGAUUACAGUUCGGGACAGUUCGCAGUGACCAAACGGGGUCGAAACUGAAAUGUUAAAAUUUCAGUGGACUUGUUAAGUAAAAACGAACAUUCUUG
rnacentral:lncRNA from 1 species